GAUCACAGUUAUAUCACCUUGCAGCCCAAGACCGGUUUCUCACUGAAGCUAAGCAGAGCUGAGCCUAUUUAGUGGUUGGAUGGAAGAACACGUGAGAAAACUAGGUUGCUGUUGGAA
rnacentral:rRNA from 1 species